rnacentral:rRNA from 1 species
UUGACGAUGGGCCGGCGGCGGCGUGUGUACGAAGGGUGAAGUCAUUAUCCGGAGGGACUUGGCUUAGAGAGUUGCGUAGUCGGUUCGUAAGGUGAAUAGUGAUAUCUGGUGGCUCAACCAUUCAGACUAUUAUUCAAACUCACGAUCUCGAGAAUGGUAGAGGGAACUGGAAUUUCUUGUGUAGGAGUGAAAGCCGUAGAUAUAAGAAGGAACACCAAUGGCGUAGGCAGGUUACUGGACCAUUUCUGACGCUAAGGCACGAAAGCGUGGGGAGCGAACCGGAUUAGAUACCCUUGUAGUC